rfam:Pristionchus pacificus strain PS312 contig9197, whole genome shotgun sequence.
UCUUCAUUUCACACACUCUCUCAUCCGUCAGCGAGGCGAGAUAGUGUGUGAAAUGAGGAGA